AUUGAACGCUGGCGGAAUGCUUUACACAUGCAAGUCGAACGGCAGCACGGGGGCAACCCUGGUGGCGAGUGGCGAACGGGUGAGUAAUACAUCGGAACGUGCCCGGUCGUGGGGGAUAACGUAGCGAAAGUUACGCUAAUACCGCAUACGAUCUGAGGAUGAAAGCGGGGGACCUUCGGGCCUCGCGCGAUCGGAGCGGCCGAUGUCAGAUUAGGUAGUUGGUGGGGUAAAGGCCUACCAAGCCGACGAUCUGUAGCUGGUCUGAGAGGACGACCAGCCACACUGGGACUGAGACACGGCCCAGACUCCUACGGGAGGCAGCAGUGGGGAAUUUUGGACAAUGGGCGCAAGCCUGAUCCAGCCAUUCCGCGUGCAGGACGAAGGCCUUCGGGUUGUAAACUGCUUUUGUAUGGAACGAAAAGGCUCUGGCUAAUACCUGGGGCUCAUGACGGUACCGUAAGGAUAAGCACCGGCUAACUACGUG
rnacentral:rRNA from 1 species